rnacentral:rRNA from 1 species
AGUGAACGCUGGCGGUAGGCCUAACACAUGCAAGUCGAACGGCAACACAGUAAGAGCUUGCUCUUACGGGUGGCGAGUGGCGGACGGGUGAGGAAUAUAUCGGAAUCUACUUUUUCGUGGGGGAUAACGUAGGGAAACUUACGCUAAUACCGCAUACGACCUACGGGUGAAAGCAGGGGAACUUUGGACCUUGCGCGAUUGAAUGAGCCGAUGUCGGAUUAGCUAGUUGGCGGGGUAAAGGCCCACCAAGGCGACGAUCCGUAGCUGGUCUGAGAGGAUGAUCAGCCACACUGGAACUGAGACACGGUCCAGACUCCUACGGGAGGCAGCAGUGGGGAAUAUUGGACAAUGGGCGCAAGCCUGAUCCAGCCAUACCGCGUGGGUGAAGAAGGCCUUCGGGUUGUAAAGCCCUUUUGUUGGGAAAGAAAAGCAGCAGGUUAAUACCCCGCGGUUCUGACGGUACCCAAAGAAUAAGCACCGGCUAACUUCGUG